rnacentral:rRNA from 1 species
AUUGAACGCUGGCGGCAGGCCUAACACAUGCAAGUCGAGCGGAUGAAGGGAGCUUGCUCCUGGAUUCAGCGGCGGACGGGUGAGUAAUGCCUAGGAAUCUGCCUGGUAGUGGGGGAUAACGUCCGGAAACGGGCGCUAAUACCGCAUACGUCCUGAGGGAGAAAGUGGGGGAUCUUCGGACCUCACGCUAUCAGAUGAGCCUAGGUCGGAUUAGCUAGUUGGUGGGGUAAAGGCCUACCAAGGCGACGAUCCGUAACUGGUCUGAGAGGAUGAUCAGUCACACUGGAACUGAGACGCGGUCCAGACUCCUACGGGAGGCAGCAGUGGGGAAUAUUGGACAAUGGGCGAAAGCCUGAUCCAGCCAUGCCGCGUGUAUGAAGAAGGUCUUCGGAUUGUAAAGCACUUUAAGUUGGGAGGAAGGGCAGUAAGUUAAUACCUUGCUGUUUUGACGUUACCAACAGAAUAAGCACCGGCUAACUUCGUG